UCUUGCCUACGGGACGCAGCAGUCGGGAAUAUUGCGCAAUGGAGGAAACUCUGACGCAGUGACGCCGCGUGCAGGAAGAAGGUUUUCGGAUUGUAAACUGCUUUAGACAGGGAAGAUAAUGACAGUACCUGUAGAAUAAGCUCCGGCUAACUACGUGCCAGCAGCCGCGGUAAUACGUAGGGAGCAAGCGUUGUCCGGAAUUACUGGGUGUAAAGGGAGCGUAGGCGGGGAUGCAAGUUGGGUGUCAAAACUACCGGCUCAACCGAUAGUCGCACUCAAAACUGCAACUCUUGAGUGAAGUAGAG
rnacentral:rRNA from 1 species